rnacentral:rRNA from 1 species
CCUACGGGAGGCAGCAGUGGGGAAUAUUGCGCAAUGGGCGAAAGCCUGACGCAGCAACGCCGCGUGGGGGAUGAAGGCCUUCGGGUUGUAAACCUCUUUCAGCAGGGAAGAAGCGAAAGUGACGGUACCUGCAGAAGAAGCACCGGCUAACUACGUGCCAGCAGCCGCGGUAAUACGUAGGGUGCAAGCGUUGUCCGGAUUUAUUGGGCGUAAAGAGCUCGUAGGCGGUUAGUCACGUCGGAUGUGAAAUCCCGGAGCUUAACUUCGGGCCUGCAUUCGAUACGGGCUGACUCGAGUGUUGUAGGGGAGACUGGAACUCCUGGUGUAGCGGUGAAAUGCGCAGAUAUCAGGAAGAACACCGGUGGCGAAGGCGGGUCUCUGGGCAACUACUGACGCUGAGGAGCGAAAGCGUGGGGAGCAAACAGGAUUAGAUACCCUGGUAGUCCACGCCGUAAACGGUGGGCGCUAGGUGUGGGGAACAUUCCACGUUCUCUGCGCCGCNGCUACGCAUAAGACGCCCGCCGUCGGGAGGUACGGCCGGCCGACGGACGUAAACCGUACGAACGUAAGUAAGUUAGUUACGGCGUGAGACGUGCCGACGGCGACGACGAGGGAGGAGG